UAUGAGCUUGGAUCUUGCUGGCACGAGUGCCAUGUAGCAAUGCUACUUCCUUAAUAUUCAGAGGAAAAUUUAUGAGGCAUUGAAGAACAAUUUCAGAGGUACAUCUACAUCUCCAUCCACACCUCAUGGAGGUUUGUAACUCUUGGGUAGAUUUGCAAUAUUAGUGAUUUUAGUGGUUGCCCAGCCACAUGUUAUGGAGACACAUGUGGCUGGGCAGCAACUAUGAAAUCUAUUUUUGGUUUAACAUUGAUUUUUGGUAAAUGUUUAAAACUCUGGCAGUUGGAAAUAGAUGAUAUACUGAUAUGGUUUGGAUUUAAUUUCAGAUCUUAUUUUGUAUUUGGCUUGUGAGGCGGUUGGUGUAUGGUUUGGAUUUAAUUUUCAAACUUGUUUUGUAUUUGGAUUAUGGAAAUAUUGCUGGACAAUUUGGAUUUAAUUUCAGAUAUAGUUUUGUAUUUGGAUUGUGGGGCUGUUGGUGUAUGAUUUGGAUUUAAUUUCCAAACUUGUUUUGUAUUUGGUUUAUGGGCUAAUGGCGGGCCAAUAUGAAUUUAAUUUCUAUAG